GACGAACGCUGGCGGCGCGCCUAACACAUGCAAGUCGAACGGAGUCACGAGGAGCUUGCUUUUCUUGACUUAGUGGCGAACGGGUGAGUAACGCGUGAGUAACCUGCCCUGGAGUGGGGGACAACAGUUGGAAACGACUGCUAAUACCGCAUAAGCCCACGGAUCUGCAUGGAUCUGCGGGAAAAGGAUUUAUUCGCUCUAGGAUGGACUCGCGUCCAAUUAGCUAGUUGGUGAGGUAACGGCCCACCAAGGCGACGAUUGGUAGCCGAACUGAGAGGUUGAACGGCCACAUUGGGACUGAGACACGGCCCAGACUCCUACGGGAGGCAGCAGUGGGGGAUAUUGCACAAUGGGGGAAACCCUGAUGCAGCGACGCCGCGUGGAGGAAGAAGGUUUUCGGAUUGUAAACUCCUGUCGUGAGGGACGAUAAUGACGGUACCUAACAAGAAAGCACCAGCUAACUACGUG
rnacentral:rRNA from 1 species